rnacentral:tRNA from 1 species
GGGCCCGUAGCUCAGUACGGACAGUAGCGUCGGCCCUCUAAGCCGAAGGUCGCGGGUUCAAAUCCCGCCGGGCCCGCCA